UCUUUUAGUAUAAUUAAAGUAUGCUUGAUUUCCAAUCAGGUGGUUUAGAGAUUA
rnacentral:tRNA from 1 species